rnacentral:rRNA from 1 species
CCUACGGGAGGCUGCAGUAGGGAAUCUUCGGCAAUGGGGGGAACCCUGACCGAGCAACGCCGCGUGAGUGAAGAAGGUCUUCGGAUCGUAAAGCCCUGUUGUAAGAGAAGAAAGUUAGCGGGAGUGGAAAAUCCGCUAAGUGACGGUACCUUACCAGAAAGCGACGGCUAAUUACGUGCCAGCAGCCGCGGUAAUACGUAGGUCCCGAGCGUUGUCCGGAUUUAUUGGGGGAAAAGCGAGCGCAGGCGGUUUUUAAAGUCAGAAUUAAAAGGGUGUGGCUCAACCAGAGUACGCCUUUGAAACUGGGAGACUUGAGUGCAGAAGGGGGGAGUGGAAUUCCAGGUGUAGCGGUGAAAUGCGUAGAUAUAUGGAGGAACACCGGUGGCGAAAGCGGCUCUCUGGUCUGUAACUGACGCUGAGGCUCGAAAGCGUGGGGAGCAAACAGGAUUAGAUACCCUAGUAGUC